rnacentral:lncRNA from 1 species
UAUACUUCCUCAAUGGCACUUCUCAUUCAUAGAGUGAAUUAAUAUGCCAGACAUCUUUUUAAAGGAGAAACUGACAUAUUUUAAAAAAACAACCUCUAUGUAGUUGCCGUUUCUUCCAAUAUCUUUUCUCUAUGGUGAAUUCAUUGAAUCCAAGAGUAUGAACAGCCAGGCAUGGUGGUGCACAUCUAUUGUCCCAACUACUGGUAAGCUGAGGCAGGAAGAUCACAAGUUCAAGGAAGGUCUGGGCAAUUUAGUGAGACUGUCUCAAAAUAAGAUUAAAAAAAAAAGUCAAACCUUUCACAGUCCAAUCUCAUACAGAAUUAAGAGGGAAAUACUUGAGAUGGGAAAAUGACUUAUUUUCCAGAAAGAAGUAUGCAAAACAACAGCAAAUGCUGUUAUAAAUUUAUCUCAAGUGCAGGAGGCAGAAAGAGUGCACUUGGUUUCCACCUUCUUCCAAGUGCCCUUUCUCCAAAUAAAAGUCUUAACUGGGCUUCUCCAGAAAUAUUUACCAUGGCUGAUUUUAGGACUGUCAACAAAAGAGUCUCUCCAAAAGAGUUCAAUGUGGAUAAACUUCCUGUUUUCGUGUUGCCCUAUCUUACUUGGUCACUGGCUGGGAAGAAAUCAGCACUCCAAGUGGUGGACACCCCCUUACUAGUUUUUCACAAACUUGUAUCCAGUAUAUUAGAUUGUAAAAAUGUGUAAACAAGGCCUCUGGCCUUGGGCUGGGCUUCACAGAGAUGUCUACAUUUUUAAGAUAAGAGAAGUUACAAUUGGCCUCCAUGGUAACAGCUGGCAGGGGGAGGGAAGAAAGGGGAGAAGAAGCUCUCCCCUUCUCAGGUGUUGUCCUUGAAGGGUUAACUUGCCCAGAACAGUGAAAGAAAGAGCUGCUUGUAUGUGAACUUCUGCAGACUGUGAACUUCUGAGCCCCUCCCCUUAUACGCUGGGUAUAAAACUCUGAAACUCCCUGAACUAGGGGUUCAGGGGAUUGAUUGAUUACAGCAAAGGCUGUACCCUCUGAACCUGGCUGAAGCCAAAUUAAACUGUUUCCUGCUUAUCUUUGGUGCCUUGACUCAUCUAUCCCUACAACACCCCCACUGAAAGAACUGCAAAUGUAUCCUUUCCUUGGUUCAGGGAGAAAAAAC